rnacentral:rRNA from 1 species
GACGAACGCUGGCGGCGUGCUUAACACAUGCAAGUCGAACGAAGUGGCGAACAGGUGAGUAAUGCGUGGGGACCCUGACCUCCUUUUUGGGAUAAGCAUUGGAAACGGGGUCUAAUACCGAAUAAAGGGGGAUGGGCGGGCAGCAUAUCAGCUUGGUGGUGGGGGGAUGAGGUACCAAUGCGUGGACGGGUAGCCGGAAUGAGAGGGUGCCCUGCGACCUUGGGACUGAGCUCAGGCCUAGACGAGUACGGGGGGCGGAGGUUGGGGAUAUUGGACAAUGGGCGAAGGCGUGAUGCCGCGACGCCGAGGAGGGCAUGAAGGUUUUCGAGUUGUAAAACUCUUUCGCUAGCGAUCGGGUAGGUGGAGAAGAAGCGCCGGCUAACUCCGUGCCAGCAGCCGCGGUAAUAC